rnacentral:rRNA from 1 species
GACGAACGCUGGCGGCGUGCUUAACACAUGCAAGUCGAACGGAAAGGCCCUGCUUGCAGGGUACUCGAGUGGCGAACGGGUGAGUAACACGUGGGUGAUCUGCCCUGCACUUCGGGAUAAGCCUGGUAAACUGGGUCUAAUACCGGAUAGGAGCCAUUUUUAUUGUGAUGGUUGGAAAGUUUUUUCGGUGUAGGAUGAGCUCGCGGCCUAUCAGCUUGUUGGUGGGGUAAUGGCCUACCAAGGCGGCGACGGGUAGCCGGCCUGAGAGGGUGGACGGCCACAUUGGGACUGAGAGACGGCCCAGACUCCUACGGGAGGCAGCAGUGGGGAAUAUUGCACAAUGGGCGCAAGCCUGAUGCAGCGACGCCGCGUGGGGGAUGACGGCCUUCGGGUUGUAAACUCCUUUCGCUAGGGACGAAGCUUUUUGUGACGGUACCUAGAUAGGAAGCACCGGCUAACUACGUG